GAUGAACGCUAGCGGCAGGCCUAACACAUGCAAGUCGAGGGGCAGCACAGAGAGUCAGCAAUGAGUUUUGGUGGCUACCGGCAGACGGGCGCGUAACGCGUGUGCAACCUACCCUUAACAGGGGAAUAACGGAGGGAAACUUCCACUAAAACCCCAUAAAAUCACAAGAGGCAUCCCUUGGGGUUGAAGGCUCCCGCGGUUACGGAUGGGCACGCGUUGUAUUAGAUUGUUGGUGAGGUAACGGCUCACCAAGUCUACGAUACAUAGGGGGACUGAGAGGUUAACCCCCCACACUGGUACUGAGACACGGACCAGACUCCUACGGGAGGCAGCAGUGAGGAAUAUUGGUCAAUGGACGCAGGUCUGAACCAGCCAUGCCGCGUGCAGGAAGACGGCUCUAUGAGUUGUAAACUGCUUUUGCAAGAGGAUAAUUGCGGGUACGUGUACCCGCUUGAAGGUACCUUGCGAAUAAGGAUCGGCUAACUCCGUGCCAGCCGCCGCAGUAA
rnacentral:rRNA from 1 species